CCUCCUCACAGAUUUCAAUCACCUGCCCACCUGUCGCUCAGUCACCUGCCAACUUCUCGGGAGGUUCCUCAGUGAGUCCGUCUCUCCACUCCCCCCUGCCCGGUUCCUUCAUCCGGCGAUCGAUCAGUCCUGCCUGCGCUGAUAGUCCACCUGCUCACCGUGCCGCAGCUCCCAGUGUUUGGUUCCCUCGCUGUUUAAUUAAACGUCUGAAAAUUGC